rnacentral:piRNA from 1 species
UUUGUUGGUACAAGAAAUCUCCAUGCCUC